GACUCGAAGAGGUUUCUUACGCGGCAGCGCUGUGACUGCGUCCGGCCCGGGCCAUGGCGGCGGCUCCCGUUGAGGUGAGUCCUACCGCUCCGCGCACACGGCUGGCGGCUUCCGGGGGUCUUGCAGCUCCGGUGACCGCGGUGCGGAGGAGGGUUGGGAUGAGCACCGAGCGAGACGGCGGCGCGUCCUCAGCUGCCCGUGAGCCCCUCACCGCCGUCCUCCCGCCUUGCCUCAGGACUGCACUUCCCAGCAUGCCAAGCGGCGGCGCGUACUUCCGCCUCGCGGUGUACUCUGGGAAGCUCAUAGCGGCCUAUCUCCGUGCGCGCAGGCGGGAGGGGCGGGGUCUGGCCUGGCGGCGCGGGGCACGACGGGAGGGCGGCCGCUCCAUUCUGAUGCUGCAACCAGAAGAGCUGGAUGUGGCUGUGGCUGUGCUGAAGGCCCACAGCAGCGACUCAGACAGCGGGCAGGGCAGUGCUGAGCCCCCCUCACCGGGCCGACCACCCACCGGCUCCACGUCCCCACAGGAUGGAGAUUCAGAAGAAGAGAUUUUUGUAAGUAGAAAAGCAAAAGGCAAGAAGGUGCUUCAGGACAGUGAAAGUGAAGAUGGAGAGGACGGUGACUCUUCUGUGCACAAUGACACUCUGGGUGGAGACACAGAAAAUGGAGAGGAAAAAGAGAAGGUCACUGCCCAGAGAAACAAGAAAUCUCGGAUUCGACAGGGUCUGCUGGACAGCGAUGACAGUGACACUGGUGACCAUUUGCAAAUUGAAAAUCUUGACACAAGCAGGAAGUCUGUCUUGUCUGAGAAUGAGGUGGAAGAGGGGAGACCACUGAAAUCUGGGAAAAAAUCCAGAAAGCAUAAACACAGUUUUGAAGAUGAGGCAGCUGAAAAAGCUGUAGGAAAACCUAGAAGAAGAAAGGAGAGGGAGAGAAGAGCUGAGUCCAUCAAACAGCUGAUAAAAGGAAAGAAGCCAAGCUCAGAGGGCCAGCAGGUGGAUGGUGGUGAGGGGUAUCCUUUUAAUGACAGUGGGUGUCUUCUUGAUGACAAAGAACUUUUCGAUAAUGGCUUAGAAGAGGAAAACAAUUCCUUCCCAGGGGAUGAAGAGUCGAUAGAGUCAAUACGAGCUGCAGUGAAAGAGAAAAUAAAGAAAUACAAGAACAAAGAACGGUUUUCUGAGGAUGAAGGCUACAAACACGUAUUUGAUGAUGAUAAUGAGGAAUCUGCAUUAAAAGAACCAAAAAGGAAGGAGCGGAAAGCAGCAAGGUUGAGUAAGGAAGCCAUUAAACAGCUCCAUAGUGAGACCCAGCGGCUCAUUAGAGAGUCAUCUGUGUCUCUCCCAUACCAUAUGCCCGAGGCCAAAAGUGUUCAUGAAUUCUUCAAGCGUAGAUCUCGACCAGUGUAUGAAGGAAAUGCCAUGGCAUUGCUGAAGUCCACUAAAUACGAGUUCACCCUGAAUGAAGAAGCUGCAGGCACGAAGACCUCGAGCACAGAUUGCAAAGAUGGGCCAACAGAAGGUGGUCAGUCAGCAGCUAAUGAACCAGAAGCAAACCUUGGCGGGCACACUGAUCCUGCUGCCAAGGAUCCUCUCCUUGGUGAAGGGGAGAACUUGACAGAAGACAGUGCUGAAAAGUCCAGAAAGAACAAUGAUGAUUCUCAUAGUGCUGUGACUGUAACAACUGCCAGUGAAACAGAAGAACAGCAAUCAGUCCUAAACACCGAUUGCAGUGAACAGAAAGAGAGUGAAAUUCCUCUACCAGUUGGAGGCAAUGCCCUUGAGCAAAGAGAUGAAACAGCACCAGGCCUGGAAAACAGCCAACAGGUGGGGCCUGGAUUGGCAGCACAGCCUGAAAAAGUGAGGAAGUCCAAAUUGGAUAAACUCCGUGAGCUGGGGAUCGAUUUGACCAUUAAGCCACGAAUCUGCUCUGGCAAUGAAUCUUUUAUAAACCUCGAUGAAUCUGAUUCGAAUAAAGAAUUAGAAGCCUUGAAGGCACGUUUCUUGAAGCAUACCCUUCAAACUUCAAAACCCAAGUUAGAACGGACCAUAAACAUGAGCAUUAUUCGUAAGGAGACCACAUCUGAAGGGAAGGAGGAACUAAAAGCAGACGUGGUGCCAGCAGUUUUAGCUGCAGAGAGCCUGGAUGAAGCAGUCCACACAAAGCCAGGUGAAAAGCUGCAAGUGCUGAAGGCAAAACUCCAGGAGGCCAUGAAACUCCGCAGGACUGAGGAGCGCCAGAAACGACAGGCAUUGUUCAAACUGGAUAAUGAGGAGCUGCUGGAGGAGGAAGAGGAGGAGGAGGAGGAGGAAGAGAUGACAGAUGAGUCUGAGGAAGAGGAGGAAGGCGAUCAUGAGGCUGUGGAAUCUCUGCUUGAUGAGGCGGAGGAAGACAAUGAAGAUCUGGAAGAGAAACAAGUUGAAGACGGUGAUAAAGAAACUGACAGAGAGUCAAUUGAUGGAGAAAAGGUGGAGCAAGCUGUGGACUGUGCUUCUGUUCCCAAACCACCUUCAACAGAGUCUACAUUGAUGCUCUUUAAGGACAGCUCCUCCAAAAUGGGGUACUCUCUUCCUGAUGAGAAACAUGAAAGUGAAGAAGCUGCAGACAAAGAAGCUACCAAGUUAGAAGAUGAUGAUUCAUUUUCUCUACCAACACCAGCAAAAGAGAAUAGCCACAACAGCAGCUUUGAGCUGAUUGGCUCCAUGAUUCCAUCCUAUCAGCCCUGUAACAAACAGAUGUCGCGUGGAGGGAACUUUUUACCUGCAGCAGGAGGCUUCAGGUCACCUUCCCCAGGUUUUUUCAAAACAAGCUUUAUCAGUUCUGCUUCCAAGAGCUCGGGAAAGAUGUCUGAGCCUUCUCUUCCCAUAGAAGAUUCCCAGGACCUGUAUAAUGCCUCUCCUGAACCAAAGAGUUUAUUUCCAGGGGCUGGAGAAUCCCAGUUUCAAUUUUCUCUGGAAGAUGACACCCAGAGCCAGCUGCUUGAUGCAGAUGGGUUUCUGAAUGUUGGACAACAUAGAAAUAAAUACCAAUCCUCAAAGCAUGGACUGACUCUAGCCAGUAUGGAUGAGAAUGCAAUGGAUGCAAACAUGGAUGAAUUAUUGGACUUGUGUUCUGGACAGUUUAGCAGUCAAGCUGAGCAUGUGCCAAGUACCAGCAGCAACAAGAAACAAAACAUGGAAGAACUGCUCAAUCUUUGCUCUGGAAAAUUUGUGACUCAGACAGAUUCUCCAACAUGGGCAUCAUCAGUAUCUUCCAAGGCAGAGAAGGACAGCGACAUAGAAGACCCAAUGGCAGAAGCACUAGCACUUUGUUCAGGCUCCUUCCCCACGGACAGGGAGGAGGAGGAUGAGGAGCACGAGGAGCAUGAGGAGCUUGGUGAUUUUCAGCUUGUAACAGAUGACAAUGCCUUUGAUAGUGAAGAGGAUGAAAAGAGUGGGGAUAGUGAUGGUGAAGAAGCAGAAGUAAGUGAUGAAGAAGAGCUGCUGAGACGUAGAGAGGGCUCGAAGAAAAAGCUAAAACUGGAGGAUUUCAUGGAAGAUGAGGCAGAGCUGUCAGGGAGUGACGUGGGCAGUGAGGAUGAGUACGAUGGAGAAGACCUGAAUGAAUAUGAAGAAGAGAUUAUCGACGAGGAGCUCCCUAAUGAAGCAGAAUUAGAAAGUCAAGUACAGAAAUUACACAUGAAGGCAGUGCUUGAUGACGACAAGCGUCAGUUACGCUUGUACCAAGAGAGGUACCUCAUUGAUGGUGACCUACACAGCGAUGGCCCUGGCAGAAUGAGGAGAUUCAGAUGGAAAAACAUAGAUGAUGCUUCACAGAUGGACUUGUUUCAGAGGGAUUCUGAUAAUGAAGAUGAAAAUGAAUCAUUUGAUGAAACAGAAGUAAAAUGGAGGAAAGAGAGAUUUGAACGAGAACAGUGGCUUCGUGAGCAGAAGGAAAAAAAUAAAGAGCAGGAGGAGGAGGAGGAGGAAGAUAUCGGUGAAGACAGUCAGUUCAUGAAACUAGCUAAAAAAGUAACUGAGAAGUCCCUGCAGAAGAGAGCAAGCCCUGCAGUAGUGGUUCAAGAUGCAAAACUAUUGCCCAGGAAUCCAUUUGAAACAUUCAGACCUGCCAGUGACAUCCAGAUUAAAAAUGGGUCUCUCUUGAAUAGACCCAAAGAUAUCCUUCAGAAACUGGCGGCCAUGUCAGAUCUCAAUCCAAAUGCACCUCGGAACUCCAGGAAUUUUGUCUUUCACACACUUUCCCCAGACAAGAAUGAAGAGGCAAAGGAGAAAUCAAAACAUCAGGUGAAGAAAAGAGGUCCUUCUGCAGCAAUAACAUCUCUUGCCAAACGGCCCAGGGUUGACAGCACAGAGCAAACGAGUCAAAGUCGAAGCAUAUUCCAGUACUUGGAGAGCUGAAUGUUUUUGUGUAGGGCCAGAAGUUACAUCUUGUAUCUCUGUCAGUUGCAGGCUGAUCUGCAAAUCUCUGCCAGCAAUCAUCAGGAAGACAGGUUAUUUGGGAAGCCAGAUGGACCCAGGCUAAAAUCAUCUGUAUUUCCAACGCGUGAAAAAUGAUGUCAGAGUGGACACCUGAAGAGAGGCGCGCUGUGUGUGGUGGGUGCUCAGCACACAAACUGAACCUCAGCUGCCCCGGAUCCCCCAUCAGCUGUCCCAGAGCCAAUGUGAGUGUUAAAGGGCAGAAAGAGCCCCAGGCACCCACUGACAUGCGGGUGGGGAUGGCUCUGGCGCAGCCCCACGGUGGCUAUUUCCCCUUGCUGCCUUUCAGCCCUCGUUAGUGGCUGCACCCAUUCUCCAGGAGGGAUGAAUGGAGCACAGCUUUGGGCCCGCAGAAGUGCCUUUUGCUUGUGUUUGUUUUCAGAACGGGCAGGUGAUCUGCUCAGCAUCCCUCUCCUUUCCUUCAGGCUUCCCCCCUUAGAAAAGGACACACGGAAAGCAGAUCAGCAGACAUAGGAAGAGGGCAGUGAUGGCUCGAGUCUGACGUGGGGUCGUGGUUUAAGACACUGGAGAAUGCGGUGUGCUGGGGUGGCUGAAGGGCAGCAGGAGGUGGGGGUGUGGGGCUGCCUGGGAAAUAGCCCCGAGCCUUGGGGGACGGGGCUGCCUUCAGUGGGAGAGCUGCAAAGCAAAGCUGUUCUCUGCAAGCUCUUGGUCAUCAGUACUCAUGCUGACACGGUGUGUGCUCAGCGUGGACAGCUGUUCAGUCCUGGCGGGUUGUUAUGUGCUCUCGUAUCAUCCAGCAGCACAGUUUAUGGCCAACUCCAGCACUGCUCCUCCACGCAGCAGAAACCUGAACCGGCUGUAAUGAAAGAAAACGAUGUUGGGGAUCGAUCGCAAGAGAUUCGCUUCAUUUUUAAGCUCGUGUUUCUGCCCUGCUCCUCAAGGCUGCUUUCAUACAACCCUCCUCCGCUGCUCCCCCUGCGGUGUCCCAUUGAUCACCAAUAGCUGCUGCUGCUCCUGCAGGCGCUGAUGGAGGAGCAGCCCCAGAUGCCCCCGGAGGGCGAUGUCCUCCUGCCCCAAAUCCGCAGUGCCCGAGGAGGGGCUGGGAGCCCUCUGGGCUAUUCCAGGUGGUAAUUAAUGAGGGGGGGCCCCCAAGGGAGGUUCCCUGGUGCCCGCAGCCCUGCUGUGCCCCCAAUUUCCAGCCCCCCCGGUCAGCUGUGACAGGUUUCUGUGCAGAAAGUGUAAUGAACGGCUGAGGCGCUCAAGAUAUUAAUAGGUGGUAUUUCCACGUUCCUAUUUUACAUUAAGCCCGAAGGAGGGCUCUGAACACCCCCCGACCCUUCGCAAUUAAAUAUCAGCUUAGAAAAGCACUUUUCCCUUCCUUCCUUCGCUCCCACUGCCCGGCCCAACGCUGUGGGGUGCUGCCCAGCUGCAGGAUGCUCGGGGGCUGGGGGGGCACAUUGGAUGCUCGGGGUCCCACACCCCCAUUCCCUGGGCAGGCACAGAGCAGGCGCUGCUUUGGCACUCCCCCACACCCCCCCUCCCCUUCCCCGGGUCGCUAUGAAUAAAUCAUUGU